rnacentral:rRNA from 1 species
GACGAACGCUGGCGGCGUGCUUAACACAUGCAAGUCGAACGGUAAGGCCCUUCGGGGUACACGAGUGGCGAACGGGUGAGUAACACGUGGGUGAUCUGCCCUGCACUUCGGGAUAAGCCUGGGAAACUGGGUCUAAUACCGGAUAGGACCACUGCCUGCAUGGGUGGUGGUGGAAAGCUUUUGCGGUGUGGGAUGGGCCCGCGGCCUAUCAGCUUGUUGGUGGGGUGAUGGCCUACCAAGGCGACGACGGGUAGCCGGCCUGAGAGGGUGACCGGCCACACUGGGACUGAGAUACGGCCCAGACUCCUACGGGAGGCAGCAGUGGGGAAUAUUGCACAAUGGGCGCAAGCCUGAUGCAGCGACGCCGCGUGAGGGAUGACGGCCUUCGGGUUGUAAACCUCUUUCAGCACCGACGAAGCGCAAGUGACGGUAGGUGCAGAAGAAGGACCGGCCAACUACGUGCCAGCAGCCGCAGUAA